GAAAUGCGAUAAGUAAUGUGAAUUGCAGAAUUCAGUGAAUCAUCGAAUCUUUGAACGCACCUUGCGCUCCUUGGUAUUCCUUGGAGCAUGCCUGCUUUAUUAUCAUGAAAUCUUCAAAGUAAAUCUUUUGUUAACUCAAUUGGUUUCUACUUUGGUAUUGGAGGUCUUUGCAGCUUCACACCUGCUCCUCUUUGUUCAUUAGCUGGAUCUCAGUGUUAUGCUUGGUUCCACUCGGCGUGAUAAGUUAUCUAUCGCUGAGGACACUGUAAAAGGUGGCCAAGGUAAAUGCAGAUGAACCGCUUCUAAUAGUCCAUUGACUUGGACAAUACUUUUAUGAUCUGAUCUCAAAUCAGGUAGGACUACCCGCUGAACUUAAGC
rnacentral:misc_RNA from 1 species